AAUAAGUGCAGCCGUGAGUAUCCGUGUUCAACGUUUGAUUGUUCGUCUUAUUUGAAAAAAUAUAAUUUUUUUAAAAAAAUUAGUCACACAUAAAGUACUAUUCUUGUUUUAUCAUUUAAUAACAUAAAAAUACUAAUAAAAAAUUCAAAUAAGACAAACGGUCAAACGUUGGACAUAAACAGCGCAAAACUGUACUUAUU
rfam:Oryza sativa Japonica Group DNA, chromosome 1, cultivar: Nipponbare, complete sequence.